rnacentral:lncRNA from 1 species
AUGGGGGACUUCAAUUACCCAGACAUCUGCUGGGUAAGCAACUCGACCAGGCAUGAGCAGUCCAAAUGGUUCCUACAAUGUGUUGAGGACAAUUUUCUGACGCAGGUGGUGGAGGAGCCGAUGAGGUGGGGGGUGCUCCUGGACCUCAUUCUUACCAACAGGGAUGGCCUUGUUAGGGAUGUGAAAGUUGGGGGCAGCUUGGGAUGCAGCGACCAUGAGAUGGUGGAGUUCCAGACGGAACUAGUCAAAGGAAGUAAAGGUAAAAGCAGGAUUGCUACCCUGGACUUUCGGAGAGCCAACUUCAACCUCUUCCGGGACCUGCUUGGGAGUAUCUCCUGGGAUAGGUUGCUAGAAGGCAAGGGUGCUUGUGAGAGCUGGGCUACAUUUAAGCAGCACUUCUUCCAUGCUCAGGAUUGGUGCAUCCCGAGGAAUAGGAAAUCAGGGAAGGGGGGCAGGAAACCCGCAUGGAUGAGCAAGGAGCUCAUCAAUGAGAUCAAAAGGAAGAGGAUGUUCUAUGAAAUGUGGAAAAAGGGCCUGUCCUCUUGGAAGGAGUAUAGAUGUGUUGUCAGGGCCUGCAGGGAUGCAAUGAGGAAGGCUAAAGCCCACCUAGAGAUGAGGCUUGCAAAAGAGAUAAAGGAUAAUAAGAAGGGUUUUAUCAAGUAUGUAAGCAGCAAGAGGAAGAGUAGGGAUAAUGUGGGUCUCUUGCUGAAUGAGGGGGGUGUCCUGGUCACGGGAGACGCUGAGAAGGCAGAGAUACUGAAUGCUUUCUUUGCUUCAGUUUUUGCUUCAAGGACACUCCCCCGGGACUCCUCGCCCCUGACAAUAGGACAAAGGGUCUGGGAAAUGGAGGGCUCCCCCCUGGUGGACAUGGGAGUGGUUCGGGAGCAUCUGAGUGGGCUCAACGCACACAAAUCCAUGGGUCCCGAUGGGAUGCAUCCGCUUGUGAUAAGGGAGCUGGCAGAUGUGAUCGCCAAAGCGCUCUCUAUCGUCUUUGAAAGGUCCUGGAGAACAGGUGAGGUGCCUGAAGACUGGAGGAUAGACAAUGUCACUCUGGUCUUCAAGAAGGGCAGGAAGGAGGAUCCGGGAAACUACAGGCCAGUCAGUCUCACCUCUGUCCCUGGAAAGGUAUUGGAGCAGCUUGUUCUGGAUGCCAUCUCCAAGCAAUUGGAAGAGAAGAAGGUUAAGAGGAGUAGUCAGCAUGGAUUCACCAAGGGGAAGUCGUGCUCGACCAACCUCGUUGCCUUCUAUGAUGACAUCACCAGCUGGGUAGAUGGGGGGAGAGCGGUGGACGUAAUCUACCUUGACUUCAGCAAGGCUUUCGAUACUGUCUACCAUGACAUCCUACUGACAUCCAUGACAGCAAAGGAUUUCAUUGCUCCUCUAAGGAAGACAAAAUAUCCCACCAAAAGCUGCACAUUCCUAAAACUUCAUGUUCCAUAUGUGAGUUAUGCAAGAGACGUGGUGCAGUCUGGAAGCAUUUCUCUGAUAAAGCAGGAUCAGUCACUCCCUGGAGACUGGCAACAACCUGUCAUCAUUCCGGAUUGUCAGCCGUGCUAAAGGAAUAAUACAGCAUGCAGCCAAGUCAAACAGUCCAUCACACCAAGACACAUGACUUGCUAGUAAGAGGUAGAUAGACUAAAUAUAGAAUCAUAUUUUAAAUAAUAAGUAGUGCAAACCACUAAAAUAACUGAGCAUAGAAUAUUCUUUGCAUUUCUAAUUCUCUAGAUCAAGGUCUGUUAUUUUUUAUAGUUCAAAAAGUGAAUUUGACUUGUAGUAUGUAAAACUGUA